CUCCCCUGCAGGAUUGUGCAAUGGGGAAGGAAGGAGGGUGUUAUGCUUUCUCAUAAAGUAGAUGUCAUUGUGGGGUAGCCCAGUAGGGUCCUGUGUAAAGGCUGCUAUAUGGGAAGGGAAGAAAGAGAUCUUUCUAUGCACCAUGUUCUCAGUUAUCUGAAUGACCUCAUCAUCAAGUCUUGAGGAGCAGCUAUUAGGAUGUCGCACUAUUUAGGCAGGAUUCAGAAGAAAGGGGGAUACAAUUUUGUGCUAUCAGUUCCUCAAAAUGAAUGAUUUUCCUGUUUGAUGGGAUAUGAAGCAGCCCUUCCUUUCAUUUGCAUUAGGCCUGUAUGUGCUGCACUUUCAGCGUGGUUUUUCUGCUUUUGGAUUUGACUUGGUACCUGAACUUACCACCCCCAUGUCUUGGUUUAGCCCAUACAUCACUUAGUAGGACUACCG